rnacentral:snRNA from 1 species
AGCUUUGCACAGUGGCUGUACGUAGCCAAUGAGGUGUAUCCGAGGUACGAUUAUUGCUAAUUGAAAACUUUUCCCAGUACCCCACCAUGACAACUUGAAAUAUAGUCGGCAUUGGCAAUUUUUGACAGUCUCUACGGAGA